GAGCUUUAAAUUUAAUUCGUCGGUAAAAUCAGCAUAUACUAAACAACCGUAGUCAAAGUGGGGAAAGAUUAGACUUUUAACCAAAAUUAUCCGAGUGGAAGUAGAUGUUCUGAACCUGUUUCUUCCAGGAUAAGGUACGAUUAAGGAAAUAUCCCGGAUCUUUAAACACUUCCGAGAAAGGGAUAAUGAGACUCUCAAUAUAAAGUGGUGGAAAUGAUGCCAGAGUUUCAAGCGACAGAGAUGAGAUAGCUCUGACAACAAUUGCCUGAGUUUUGCCCGGGUUAAGAGUGCGAUCCAGGAGGCAGCUUUAUUUAAUUCUUUAGGGACGUGUAGCGGUGAAAAUUGGUUAAAUGCAAUGACUAGAUAAUUAGAGCGUCAAUUUUAUUAUUUAUAUCUAUAACUAGUAAUAUUUUUGCCCAAUCAUACGUCAUCAGGUGUUCGUGGAAAGUAUAUUCAUCAAUAUUAGAGAGAUUGCGAACCAGCCUUUGGGUUGGUAUUGAAUUUAAAUUAUAGGAAAAUUUUUAAAUAAUGUUAAUCAAGUCGUGGUUAUUGUGUAUAUACACGCCUGUCAACUGGCCGUCAGCUAGCAGAAAAAUCAUAAGAGUGAAAGAAAUAGAUGGUACUUUUCUUUUAAUUUUCGACUCUUUGUCUCUUUUAUGACUUUUCUGCUGGCUGGCGACCAGUAAACAGGCGUGUAAAUACACCAUUAGAGAGAAAAGGGACGGCAUGUUGUUCGUGGGAGAUAGUCUAUAAUCAUUAAGUCGAUACGAGAAGACUCUGUCAACUCUGUGGAAAAUAAUUGGCGACAUUCAGCGCACUCUGCGAUGGGCAGUCGAACUUCGCCGACCGUCCAUGCGUUGUGCAUGUAUAUUUAUACGUCUAUCCUUAGAUGUGUUGUAUCUCAAAAGAAUUAACCAAAAACGAAGAAAGAUAAAAUGAAGCAAAUUAUUAACGCAAAAUGAGAAAUAAGCGAUCAUUAGAAUUCUGUUUCUCAUUAUAUGUGUCUCAUUAACUUCAGUUUGCCCUUAUUUUUAUAAACGAAAUAAUUCCAU